rnacentral:misc_RNA from 1 species
UGGUUCUGGCAUCGAUGAAGAACGCAGCGAAAUGCGAUAAGUAAUGUGAAUUGCAGAAUUCAGUGAAUCAUCGAAUCUUUGAACGCACAUUGCGCCCCUUGGUAUUCCGGGGGGCAUGCCUGUUCGAGCGUCAUUACAACCCUCAAGCCUAGCUUGGUAUUGGGGCAUGUCUUCUGGCAGCCCUUAAAAUCAGUGGCGGUGCCGUCGAGCUCUAAGCGUAGUAACUCUUCUCGCUAUAGGGCCCGGCGGUCGCUGGCCAACAACCCCAAACUUUCUAUGGUUGACCUCGGAUCAGGUAGGGAUACCCGCUGA